rnacentral:rRNA from 1 species
GAGUUUGAUCCUGGCUCAGGGUGAACGCUAGCGGCAGGCUUAACACAUGCAAGUCGAACGGUAACAGAGAAGAGCUUGCUCUUUUGCUGACGAGUGGCGCACGGGUGCGUAACGCGUAUACAAUCUACCUUUUACAGGGGUAUAGCCUUUAGAAAUGAAGAUUAACACCCCAUAGUAUCUAAUUAUCUCAUGGUAUUUAGAUUAAAACUUCGGUGGUAAAAGAUGAGUAUGCGUUCUAUUAGCUAGAUGGUAAGGUAACGGCUUACCAUGGCGACGAUAGAUAGGGGCCCUGAGAGGGGGAUCCCCCACACUGGUACUGAGACACGGACCAGACUCCUACGGGAGGCAGCAGUGAGGAAUAUUGGACAAUGGGCGAGAGCCUGAUCCAGCCAUGCCGCGUGCAGGAUGACUGCCCUAUGGGUUGUAAACUGCUUUUAUAUAGGAAGAAACCUUUCCACGUGUGGAAAGCUGACGGUACUAUAAGAAUAAGGAUCGGCUAACUCCGUGCCAGCAGCCGCGGUAAUACGGAGGAUCCAAGCGUUAUCCGGAAUCAUUGGGUUUAAAGGGUCCGUAGGUGGAUAAUUAAGUCAGAGGUGAAAUCCUGCAGCUCAACUGUAGAAUUGCCUUUGAUACUGGUUAUCUUGAAUUAUUGUGAAGUGGUUAGAAUAUGUAGUGUAGCGGUGAAAUGCAUAGAUAUUACAUAGAAUACCAAUUGCGAAGGCAGAUCACUAACAAUAUAUUGACACUGAUGGACGAAAGCGUGGGGAGCGAACAGGAUUAGAU